rnacentral:rRNA from 1 species
UACGUAGGGUCCGAGCGUUGUCCGGAAUUACUGGGCGUAAAGAGCUCGUAGGUGGUUUGUCGCGUUGUUCGUGAAAACUCACAGCUCAACUGUGGGCGUGCGGGCGAUACGGGCAGACUUGAGUACUGCAGGGGAGACUGGAAUUCCUGGUGUAGCGGUGGAAUGCGCAGAUAUUCGGAGGAACACCAGUAGCGAAGGCGGCUCGCUGGGCCACACCUGACGCUGAGACGCGAAAGCAUGGGGAGCGAACAGG